rnacentral:rRNA from 2 species
GGUUAAGCGACUAAGCGUACACGGUGGAUGCCCUGGCAGUCAGAGGCGAUGAAGGGCGUGCUAAUCUGCGAUAAGCGCCGGUAAGGUGAUAUGAACCGUUAUAACCGGCGAUACCCGAAUGGGGAAACCCAGUGUGACUCGUCACACUAUCAUUAACUGAAUCCAUAGGUUAAUGAGGCGAACCGGGGGAACUGAAACAUCUAAGUACCCCGAGGAAAAGAAAUCAACCGAGAUUCCCCCAGUAGCGGCGAGCGAACGGGGAGGAGCCCAGAGCCUGAAUCAGCAUGUGUGUUAGUGGAAGCGUCUGGAAAGGCGCGCGAUACAGGGUGACAGCCCCGUACACAAAAGCGCAUGUGCUGUGAGCUCGAUGAGUAGGGCGGGACACGUGGUAUCCUGUCUGAAUAUGGGGGGACCAUCCUCCAAGGCUAAAUACUCCUGACUGACCGAUAGUGAACCAGUACCGUGAGGGAAAGGCGAAAAGAACCCCGGCGAGGGGAGUGAAAAAGAACCUGAAACCGUGUACGUACAAGCAGUGGGAGCACAGGUUUACCUGUGUGACUGCGUACCUUUUGUAUAAUGGGUCAGCGACUUAUAUUCUGUAGCAAGGUUAACCGUAUAGGGGAGCCGUAGGGAAACCGAGUCUUAACCGGGCGUUAAGUUGCAGGGUAUAGACCCGAAACCCGGUGAUCUAGCCAUGGGCAGGUUGAAGGUUGGGUAACACUAACUGGAGGACCGAACCGACUAAUGUUGAAAAAUUAGCGGAUGACCUGUGGCUGGGGGUGAAAGGCCAAUCAAACCGGGAGAUAGCUGGUUCUCCCCGAAAGCUAUUUAGGUAGCGCCUCGUGAAUUCAUCUCCGGGGGUAGAGCACUGUUUCGGCUAGGGGGCCAUCCCGGCUUACCAACCCGAUGCAAACUGCGAAUACCGGAGAAUGUUAUCACGGGAGACACACGGCGGGUGCUAACGUCCGUCGUGAAGAGGGAAACAACCCAGACCGCCAGCUAAGGUCCCAAAGUCAUGGUUAAGUGGGAAACGAUGUGGGAAGGCCCAGACAGCCAGGAUGUUGGCUUAGAAGCAGCCAUCAUUUAAAGAAAGCGUAAUAGCUCACUGGUCGAGUCGGCCUGCGCGGAAGAUGUAACGGGGCUAAACCAUGCACCGAAGCUGCGGCAGCGACGCUGAUGCGUUGUUGGGUAGGGGAGCGUUCUGUAAGCCUGUGAAGGUGGCCUGUGAGGGUUGCUGGAGGUAUCAGAAGUGCGAAUGCUGACAUAAGUAACGAUAAAGCGGGUGAAAAGCCCGCUCGCCGGAAGACCAAGGGUUCCUGUCCAACGUUAAUCGGGGCAGGGUGAGUCGACCCCUAAGGCGAGGCCGAAAGGCGUAGUCGAUGGGAAACGGGUUAAUAUUCCCGUACUUGGUGUUACUGCGAAGGGGGACGGAGAAGGCUAUGUUGGCCGGGCGACGGUUGUCCCGGUUUAAGCGUGUAGGUGUGUGUUCCAGGUAAAUCCGGUUCACUUUAACACUGAGGCGUGAUGACGAGGCACUACGGUGCUGAAGCAACAAAUGCCCUGCUUCCAGGAAAAGCCUCUAAGCAUCAGGUAACAUCAAAUCGUACCCCAAACCGACACAGGUGGUCAGGUAGAGAAUACCAAGGCGCUUGAGAGAACUCGGGUGAAGGAACUAGGCAAAAUGGUGCCGUAACUUCGGGAGAAGGCACGCUGACACGUAGGUGAAGUGAUUUACUCAUGGAGCUGAAGUCAGUCGAAGAUACCAGCUGGCUGCAACUGUUUAUUAAAAACACAGCACUGUGCAAACACGAAAGUGGACGUAUACGGUGUGACGCCUGCCCGGUGCCGGAAGGUUAAUUGAUGGGGUCAGCGCAAGCGAAGCUCCUGAUCGAAGCCCCGGUAAACGGCGGCCGUAACUAUAACGGUCCUAAGGUAGCGAAAUUCCUUGUCGGGUAAGUUCCGACCUGCACGAAUGGCGUAAUGAUGGCCAGGCUGUCUCCACCCGAGACUCAGUGAAAUUGAACUCGCUGUGAAGAUGCAGUGUACCCGCGGCAAGACGGAAAGACCCCGUGAACCUUUACUAUAGCUUGACACUGAACAUUGAGCCUUGAUGUGUAGGAUAGGUGGGAGGCUUUGAAGCGUGGACGCCAGUCUGCAUGGAGCCGGCCUUGAAAUACCACCCUUUAAUGUUUGAUGUUCUAACGUGGACCCGUGAUCCGGGUUGCGGACAGUGUCUGGUGGGUAGUUUGACUGGGGCGGUCUCCUCCUAAAGAGUAACGGAGGAGCACGAAGGUUGGCUAAUCCUGGUCGGACAUCAGGAGGUUAGUGCAAUGGCAUAAGCCAGCUUGACUGCGAGCGUGACGGCGCGAGCAGGUGCGAAAGCAGGUCAUAGUGAUCCGGUGGUUCUGAAUGGAAGGGCCAUCGCUCAACGGAUAAAAGGUACUCCGGGGAUAACAGGCUGAUACCGCCCAAGAGUUCAUAUCGACGGCGGUGUUUGGCACCUCGAUGUCGGCUCAUCACAUCCUGGGGCUGAAGUAGGUCCCAAGGGUAUGGCUGUUCGCCAUUUAAAGUGGUACGCGAGCUGGGUUUAGAACGUCGUGAGACAGUUCGGUCCCUAUCUGCCGUGGGCGCUGGAGAACUGAGGGGGGCUGCUCCUAGUACGAGAGGACCGGAGUGGACGCAUCACUGGUGUUCGGGUUGUCAUGCCAAUGGCACUGCCCGGUAGCUAAAUGCGGAAGAGAUAAGUGCUGAAAGCAUCUAAGCACGAAACUUGCCCCGAGAUGAGUUCUCCCUGAGACUUAGAGUCUCCUGAAGGAACGUUGAAGACGACGACGUUGAUAGGCCGGGUGUGUAAGCGCAGCGAUGCGUUGAGCUAACCGGUACUAAUGAACCGUGAGGCUUAACCUU